rnacentral:rRNA from 1 species
GAUGAACGCUGGCGGCGUGCUUAACACAUGCAAGUCGAACGAAGCACUUUAACCUGAUUCUUCGGAUGAAGGUUUUUGUGACUGAGUGGCGGACGGGUGAGUAACGCGUGGGUAACCUGCCUCAUACAGGGGGAUAACAGUUAGAAAUGACUGCUAAUACCGCAUAAGACCACAGAGCCGCAUGGCUCGGUGGGAAAAACUCCGGUGGUAUGAGAUGGACCCGCGUCUGAUUAGGUAGUUGGUGGGGUAACGGCCUACCAAGCCAACGAUCAGUAGCCGAGCUGAGAGGGUGACCGGCCACAUUGGGACUGAGACACGGCCCAAACUCCUACGGGAGGCAGCAGUGGGGAAUAUUGCACAAUGGGGGAAACCCUGAUGCAGCGACGCCGCGUGAGCGAAGAAGUAUUUCGGUAUGUAAAGCUCUAUCAGCAGGGAAGAAAAUGACGGUACCUGACUAAGAAGCACCGGCUAAAUACGUG